GAUGAACGCUGGCGGCGUGCCUAAUACAUGCAAGUCGAGCGAACAGACGAGGAGCUUGCUCCUCUGACGUUAGCGGCGGACGGGUGAGUAACACGUGGAUAACCUACCUAUAAGACUGGGAUAACUUCGAGACACCGGAGCUAAUACCGGAUAAUAUCUUGAACCGCAUGGUUCAAUAGUGAAAGACGGUUUUGCUGUCACUUAUAGAUGGAUCCGCGCCGCAUUAGCUAGUUGGUAAGGUAACGGCUUACCAAGGCAACGAUGCGUAGCCGACCUGAGAGGGUGAUCGGCCACACUGGAACUGAGACACGGACCAGACUCCUACGGGAGGCAGCAGUAGGGAAUCUUCCGCAAUGGGCGGAAGCCUGACGGAGCAACGCCGCGUGAGUGAUGAAGGUCUUCGGAUCGUAAAACUCUGUUAUUAGGGAAGAACAAAUGUGUAAGUAACUAUGCACGUCUUGACGGUACCUAAUCAGAAAGCUACGGCUAACUACGUG
rnacentral:rRNA from 1 species